GCACAUGCUUUCAUUUCUGCUUUUAGACCCUUUACUUUAAGGGCAUCGAGUCCGGACGGUUCCCUUACUUUCCUCAUGCAGACACGGUCAUCUAUGCCAUCUCCACGGCAAUCUGUUUCCAAGCCGCUGUGAUGGAAGUGCAGAACCUCAGGCCUACAUACUGGAAGUUCCUACUGCGUUUGACUCAGGGCAGAUUUGCUCUGAUGAACCGGCAUUUGCUAGAUGUGUUUGGGACUCAAGCCUCCAGGGACUUUAAAGGCUUUGUGCCCAAGCUGGACCCUCGUUUCACCACAGUGCUUCCACCAGGAGCCGACAUCCAACUGGGCUGACCUGGGAUCAGGCUGUGGGAGGGGAUGUUAGGGCUUACCUCGAUGGACAGUGUGGCUGUUAUUUCUGAGUAACUGAAGGAUCUUUUUAAAGGUGUUAUAACAGCUCAGGAGUUGUGAAGUCGUGUUAUUAGAUGGGGAAAUGCUUUAAAAGAUGUCGGGCUCUAGAUGUGUCCAAAGCAGGACGUCAUUAGUGUCAAGCAUGUUGCUGCACACGUUUACAGCCUGGGGUUGUGUGAAACAGGUGACUUGCAAAAUAUAUAUAAAACAUUUUUACACUUAAAAACCCUUUACACUACAAGAUACAUGUUAAAGGUCCCCUAUUAUACAGUUUUUCAUCAAUAUAUUAUAGGUCUCAGAUAUAUACAAACAUGUCUCUGAAGUGUUUGGCUCGAAAUACCAAACAGAUCAUUGUAGCAUCCCAUAAUCCCCUCUGUUUCAAAAGUGCUGAUUCUGGGUCAGUUACUUUAGAGGAAAAUAAGGAGCCACGCCCCUCUGUGAGAUAUUUGGUUAAAAAGAACACAAUGGUGUUCUAGGAGGAGAUUCAGGUGAUAACCUGGUUACCUAGGUUGGUGAUUGGCUAAUGGUUACACAAGCCAAAAAAAUCGUUAUGACAUCAUAAAGUGGCCAAAAUCGGAUCAGCUCAUUUUCAGACAGGUUUUUAUAGAAAUGGAUCAGGACAAGAA